rnacentral:rRNA from 1 species
AACCAGCACCUCAAGUGGUCAGGAUGAUUAUUGGGCCUAAAGCAUCCGUAGCCUGUUAUGUAAGUUUUCGGUUAAAUCUAUGCGCUCAACGUAUAGGCUGCCGAAAAUACUGCAAAACUAGGGAGUGGGAGAGGUAGACGGUACUCGGUAGGAAGGGGUAAAAUCCUUUGAUCUAUUGAUGACCACCAGUGGCGAAGGCGGCCUCCUGGAUCUGUACUGACACUGAGGUGCGAAAGCGUGGGUAGCGAACAGG